rnacentral:rRNA from 1 species
AGUGAACGCUGGCGGUAGGCCUAACACAUGCAAGUCGAACGGCAGCACAGUAAGAGCUUGCUCUUACGGGUGGCGAGUGGCGGACGGGUGAGGAAUACAUCGGAAUCUACUUUUUCGUGGGGGAUAACGUAGGGAAACUUACGCUAAUACCGCAUACGACCUACGGGUGAAAGCAGGGGAUCUUCGGACCUUGCGCGAUUGAAUGAGCCGAUGUCGGAUUAGCUAGUUGGCGGGGUAAAGGCCCACCAAGGCGACGAUCCGUAGCUGGUCUGAGAGGAUGAUCAGCCACACUGGAACUGAGACACGGUCCAGACUCCUACGGGAGGCAGCAGUGGGGAGUAUUGGACAAUGGGCGCAAGCCUGAUCCAGCCAUACCGCGUGGGUGAAGAAGGCCUUCGGGUUGUAAAGCCCUUUUGUUGGGAAAGAAAAGCAGUAGGUUAAUACCCCGCUGUUCUGACGGUACCCAAAGAAUAAGCACCGGCUAACUUCGUG